rnacentral:rRNA from 1 species
AGAGAUGUGUGAUGACGCAUAUCAAUAAGCGGAGGAAAAGAAACUAACAAGGAUUCCCUUAGUAACGGCGAGUGAAGCGGGAAGAGCUCAAAUUUGAAAUCUUCAAGGUUCUACCUUGACGAAUUGUAGUUUAUAGAAGUGUUUUCUGUUAGUAGAGUGGCAAAAGUUCUUUGGAAUAGGACAUCAUAGAGGGUGAGAAUCCCGUAUUUGGUCAUUCUUUCUAGCUUUGUGAUACACUUUCAACGAGUCGGAUUGUUUGGGAAUGCAGUCCAAAGUGGGUGGUAAAUUUCAUCUAAAGCUAAAUAUUGGCGAGAGACCGAUAGCGAACAAGUACCGUGAGGGAAAGAUGAAAAGAACUUUGAAAAGAGAGUUAAACAGUACGUGAAAUUGUCAAAAGGGAAGCGUUUGACACCAGUGUUGUUUUUCCGAAAAUCAAUUACGAAUGUUUUGUUUUUAGAAGUUAUGACUUCAUCGGCUUGCUUCUCUCUUUACGAAACUUUCUUAAUGCACUUUUCGGUUAACAAGUCAACAUCAAUUUCUUUUGUUGUAAAAGGGUAUGAGGAAGGUGGCUUUCUUUUCGGAGAAAGUGUUUAUAGCCUUGUACCUCUGCAAUCGGAGAGAUUGAGGUCUGCAGCGUAGAUCCUUCGGGGUUAGAUACAUUUGUGCUAAGUUAUAGCUUUUCAUAGACAACUUGUUGACUAUGUUAAGUCUUGUAGCUUACUCGCUUAUGCUAUUUUACCUACGCUUAGGAUGUUGACGAUCAGCUGAGCGCG